rnacentral:SRP_RNA from 1 species
GCCAGGCGUGGUGGUGCACGCCUAUAGUCCCAGCACUUGGGAGGCAGAAGCAGACGGAUUUCUGUGAGUUCAAGGCCAGCCUGGUCUACAUAGUGAGUUCCAGGACAGCUGGGGCUACAGGGAGACUCUGUCUCAAAAAGACCAAAAAAAAAAAAAAGACAAGGGCUCCCUAUAACCCCAGCUGGUCUGAAACUCACUAUGUAGACCAGGCUGGCCUUGAACUCACAGAAAUCAGCCUGUCUCU